AGCGAAACAGCAAGCUGUUUCCUGUUACCGUUCGACUUGCAUGUGUUAGGCCUGCCGCCAGCGUUCAAUCUGAGCCAUGAUCAAACUCUUCAAUUUAAAAGUUUGAUGCUCAAAGAAUUAAACUUCGUAAUGAAUUACGUGUUCACUCUUGAGACUUGGUAUUCAUUUUUCGUCUUGCGACGUUAAGAAUCCGUAUCUUCGAGUGCCCACACAGAUUGUCUGAUAAAUUGUUAAAGAGCAGUGCCGCUUCGCUUUUUCUCAGCGGCGCGGUGUGUGCAUAAUACGCC
rnacentral:rRNA from 1 species